ACGGUCCUAAGGUAGCGAAAUUCCUUGUCGGGUAAGUUCCGACCUGCACGAAUGGCAUAAUGAUGGCCACACUGUCUCCUCCCGAGACUCAGUGAAGUUGAAGUGUUUGUGAUGAUGCAAUCUCCCCGCGGCUAGACGGAAAGACCCCAUGAACCUUUACUGUAGCUUUACAUUGGACUGUGAACCGAUUUGUGUAGGAUAGGUGGGAGGCAGAGAAACUCGAACGCCAGUUUGAGCGGAGCCAACCUUGAAAUACCACCCUGAUUUGUUUGCGGUUCUAACCUCGGCCCAUGAUCUGGGCUAGGGACCGUGUAUGGUAGGCAGUUUGACUGGGGCGGUCUCCUCCUAAAGAGUAACGGAGGAGCACGAAGGUUGGCUAAUCCUGGUCGGACAUCAGGAGGUUAGUGCAAUGGCAUAAGCCAGCUUGACUGCGAGCGUGACGGCGCGAGCAGGUGCGAAAGCAGGUCAUAGUGAUCCGGUGGUUCUGAAUGGAAGGGCCAUCGCUCAACGGAUAAAAGGUACUCCGGGGAUAACAGGCUGAUACCGCCCAAGAGUUCAUAUCGACGGCGGUGUUUGGCACCUCGAUGUCGGCUCAUCACAUCCUGGGGCUGAAGUUGGUCCCAAGGGUAUGGCUGUUCGCCAUUUAAAGAGGUACGUGAGCUGGGUUUAAAACGUCGUGAGACAGUUUGGUCCCUAUCUGCCGUGGGCGCUGGAAGAUUGACGGGGGCUGCUCCUAGUACGAGAGGACCGGAGUGGACGCAUCACUGGUGUUCGGGUUGUCAUGCCAAUGGCACUGCCCGGUAGCUAAAUGCGGAAGAGAUAAGUGCUGAAAGCAUCUAAGCACGAAACUUGCCCCGAGAUGAGUUCUCCCUGACUCCUUGAGAGUCCUGAAGGAACGUUGAAGACGACGACGUUGAUAGGCCACAGGUGUAAAGCCGGUGACGGCAAAGCCGAGUGGUACUAAUCACCCGAAAGUUGACGUU
rnacentral:rRNA from 1 species